rnacentral:lncRNA from 1 species
CGCACACUGGCUGGGUGAAUCUAGGCAGGCAGAACAUGGUGGUGCCCCCUGUCAACCUAUCUGGUGUCACCAGCCAGCCACUCCGAGGCUCCAGCUCCAGAGGGCAGUGAAGGAGGAAGACACGGGAGCAAGACUACCCUGAAGGGCUCACCAGCGGUCUCAAUCCUGAAACAGACCCGGGUCUCUUCUUCCCACCUGCCGAGCAGCAUGUGAGCAGCAUGACUGGCCAGCUGCAGGAGAAGCCCCCAGAGCCAGGACCGCGACACAGCCACCUGCUGCCAAGGUCAAGGUGUGAAGGACUUUCCCCCACCACGGUGGUGUCUGGUCCGUACCUCCGCCUGGGUGAGGAUGUAGGCACCUCGGCUCUGCUGAUGACCUGUUCAAGCCAACAGGGACCCUUGUCUCCAGCCACCCUCACAGACAUGUCAGCCGUGGAGUAGGGUGGACGCUUUCUCUCAUCUUCUCAGGGUUUCAGGAUUUUUCUUCUUUAUUUUUUUCUUUUUUUUUUUUUUCUUGGUUUUUGUUUUUUGUUUUGUGGCUGAACAC